GAAGGGAAGCGGAGCCGCCCCGGCCAAGGGGAGGGGAGAGCGCGGGGGAGGGGACACCGCCCGGCCCGGCGCCCCCAGAGGCGGGCGGGCGGCCGCUCCGUGCUCCCCUCCGCGCGGCGGUACCUGCGCUGGAAGUCGGUCCGGAAGGGCGCCAGUUGCUUCUGAGUCCUGAGCUUGGCAGUCUUCCUGAUGCAGACAAGAGAUGGGACUUGCUUUGUAGUCAUCAGCCCCCGAGGCCUACAGAAGAAGAACAGUGAUGUUUACGUCGGGGGAUUCUAAUUCCUCAGCUUUGGCACUCCUGCAGCUGUCUCCUCAGCAACUCCUGCAUUGCCAUCUGAUUCAACACGUGCACAAGGAACACUUGCAAAGGGAGCUGAGUCAUUCUCUAAAUCUGGAACAUCAUCCUCGGAGCACAAAACUUUCCUCUGCAG